rnacentral:rRNA from 1 species
GUUUGAUCCUGGCUCAGGUUGAACGCUGGCGGCAUGCCUUACACAUGCAAGUCGAACGGCAGCGCGGACCUCGGUCUGGCGGCGAGUGGCGAACGGGUGAGUAAUGCAUCGGAACGUACCUUUCAGUGGGGGAUAACGUAGCGAAAGUUACGCUAAUACCGCAUAUUCUGUGAGCAGGAAAGCAGGGGAUCGCAAGACCUUGCGCUGAUGGAGCGGCCGAUGUCAGAUUAGCUAGUUGGUGGGGUAAAGGCUCACCAAGGCGACGAUCUGUAGCGGGUCUUAGAGGAUGAUCCGCCACACUGGAACUGAGACACGGUCCAGACUCCUACGGGAGGCAGCAGUGGGGAAUUUUGGACAAUGGGCGCAAGCCUGAUCCAGCCAUGCCGCGUGAGUGAAGAAGGCCUUCGGGUUGUAAAGCUCUUUCGGCCGGGAAAAAAUCGCUUGGGUUAAUACCCUGAGUGGAUGAUGGUACCGGAAUAAGAAGCACCGGCUAACUACGUGCCAGCAGCCCGGUAAUACGUAGGGUGCGGGCGUUAAUCGGAAUUACUGGGCGUAAAGCGUGCGCAGGCGGUUUUGUAAGACAGGCGUGAAAUCCCCGGGCUCAACCUGGGUACUGCGUUUGUGACUGCAAGGCUAGAGUAUGGCAGAGGGGGGUGGAAUUCCACGUGUAGCAGUGAAAUGCGUAGAGAUGUGGAGGAACACCAAUGGCGAAGGCAGCCCCCUGGGCCAAUACUGACGCUCAUGCACGAAAGCGUGGGGAGCAAACAGGAUUAGGUACCCUGGUAGUCCACGCCCUAAACGAUGUCAACUAGGUGUUGGGUGGGUAAAACCAUUUGGUACCGUAGCUAACGCGUGAAGUUGACCGCCUGGGGUGUACGGCCGCAAGGUUAAAACUCAAAGGAAUUGACGGGGACCCGCACAAGCGGUGGAUGAUGUGGAUUAAUUCGAUGCAACGCGAAAAACCUUACCUACCCUUGACAUGCCAGGAACUUGCCAGAGAUGGCUUGGUGCCCGAAAGGGAGCCUGGACACAGGUGCUGCAUGGCUGUCGUCAGCUCGUGUCGUGAGAUGUUGGGUUAAGUCCCGCAACGAGCGCAACCCUUGUCGUUAAUUGCCAUCAUUUAGUUGGGCACUUUAACGAGACUGCCGGUGACAAACCGGAGGAAGGUGGGGAUGACGUCAAGUCCUCAUGGCCCUUAUGGGUAGGGCUUCACACGUCAUACAAUGGUCGGUACAAAGGGUUGCCAAGCCGCGAGGCGGAGCCAAUCCCAGAAAGCCGAUCGUAGUCCGGAUCGCAGGCUGCAACUCGCCUGCGUGAAGUCGGAAUCGCUAGUAAUCGUGGAUCAGCAUGUCACGGUGAAUAC